rnacentral:rRNA from 1 species
GAUGAACGCUAGCUACAGGCUUAACACAUGCAAGUCGAGGGGCAGCACAGUGUAGCAAUACACGGGUGGCGACCGGCGCACGGGUGCGUAACACGUAUCCAAUCUGCCCGUUACUCGGGGAUAGCCUUCUGAAAGGGAGAUUAAUACCCGAUGGCAUGUAUUUCCGGCAUCGGAGAUACAUUAAAGAUUUAUCGGUAACGGAUGAGGAUGCGUACGAUUAGCUAGUUGGCGGGGUAACGGCCCACCAAGGCGACGAUCGUUAGGGGUUCUGAGAGGAAGGUCCCCCACACUGGAACUGAGACACGGUCCAGACUCCUACGGGAGGCAGCAGUGAGGAAUAUUGGUCAAUGGUCGAGAGAUUGAACCAGCCAAGUAGCGUGAAGGAUGACUGCCCUAUGGGUUGUAAACUUCUUUUGUUUGGGAAUAAAGUCAGGUACGUGUACCUGUUUGUAUGUACCAUUCGAAUAAGCAUCGGCUAAUUCCGUGCCAGCCGCCGCAGUAACAC